GAAGUCGCCAAUGUUUCUCUCAUUUCAGAACCUUACUUGUGUUGGUGAAUUGCAAUUUUGGUUCAAGGGUGCACUUGGGUGGCUUUUUAAAGGGAAGCUAAGGAAAAUGAUGUGAUGUCAGAACUGACUAAUAUACUGGCCUUUUGAACUCUUUGGGUGUUUUGGGGAAAGGAAACUAUAGUUUUUAUGGUAUUAUUUAAAUAUCAUUUCAAGGGUAACUGAAUGGGGAAGCUAAGGAAAAGGAUGUGACGUCAGAACUGGCCGAUACUCUGGUCUUUUAAUACUAUUUGGGUGU
rnacentral:misc_RNA from 1 species